rnacentral:rRNA from 1 species
GGUUGCGAUCAUACCAGCACUAAUGCACCGGAUCCCAACAGAACUCCGCAGUUAAGCGUGCUUAGGCGAGAGUAGUACUAGGAUGGGUGACCCCCUGGGAAGUCCUCGUGUUGCAACCC